GUCUUACAGUUAAGAAUAAGGUAGCAUCUCCUCAAAAACUCACUUUUACACUCCAAGGAUGUAGCCUAACCCGUGCCUAUGGUGUUGCGCACAUGGCAGCUGGCAUAGCGGACAAUCGCUCCAACGUGAUCUGAUGGACUAAAGGAGUUUACUUUAUUCUCAACAUGUUGACUUUAUUCACGACAUUUUGACUUUAUUCUCGAAAUAGUGCUUCUACUUUAUUCUCGACAUGUUGACUUUAUUCUCGAAAUGCAAAAUAAAUAAAAAAAUCUUCAAACUAAAUUUUUUUUCUUAAUGUGGCCCUAAUACUCCGUCGUAAUUUAAGGCCUGGGGACCUUUACUAAAUGUUUGUCGCGACGGAGGUUUGAACCCCGGACCUGCUGAAAAGCGAUGACACCGCCACUAGUUUGUGUUACUGCCCCUGCAUGCUGGUAGGAUAUGUAAUGAUUUCGUUUUGUGCUACUUGUGUUCGUGUGUAGUUAUGCUGCUGUGACUUGCCAAAACCCAGAAACAGAGAAACAAGACUCAAAAUACAGAGACGACACGGCCAAAAUAAUACAAACACAGACAAACUCAGGACAGGAUCGUGACACUAUUUACAAUAUUUUUGUUGUUGUUGUCGUUCUCUUAAAAAGUAAUAUUUGUGAGUCUUCUGACCUAAAACAGAUACCUUUUCACCUGCAGGUUUGUAUGUUGUGUCAUGGUAGCAAUUCCUUUUGCGGCUACCCUGUUUACAGCUAUGACAAGGUGGCAACAGGACAGAGAGGUCAGCCCAACAGCAGAAUCUUCGUCUUUGAACACUGGUCUCAACCUUUAUGGGACCCUGAAGGCCUACUGUGGAUCAUAUGUUGACACUCUACAGAGUAUACAUUAAACAACCUGGAUAACUACAAAAACUGGAAGGUGCCAGUUUUAGCUCUUUCUACAGCAGCUUUUGUGUUCUAGGGGUCUGCUUAGUGCAAGGUCUCUGCUGGGCUCCAUCAACAGAGCUGAAGACAAACUGAGCAUCAGUUUGGUGGCCAACUAUCUUUUCAAGAGGAUUAAAAGGUCCAAACUGCUACCAAAGCACCGCGGAACAAAACAGAGACUCCUGCUGGGUCUGGAGAAUGGGUGUGGGUGAAAGUUCACAAGAGAAAGUGGGCUGAACCCAGGUGGACAGGACCGUGGGAAGUGAUUUGGCACCACCUUACACAUUGUACACCCGCUCAAGCCCCCUCCUGAUCAAUAGAGGAGGUUAGAACUGAUUUGGCCACGCUGUGAACAAAAAUAGAUUUUUGAUUGGCAUUAUGAAUUAGGAUUAUACACAGCAGAUCCAGGAAAUUUGACUCUGGUAGUUUACUUAAAACUGAAUCAUUCUUUGUUUAUAUUUUUUUAUUUAUUGUUUUUGUUUGUUUAGUUUUUCCUUCCACAUUUACUGAAAACUCAAUCAUUCUUUGUUUAUAUUUUUUAUUUAUUGUUUUUGUUUGUUUAGUUUUUCCUUCCACAUUUACUGAAAACUCAAUCAUUCUUUGUUUUUAUUUUAUUUAUUUAUUGUUUUUGUUUGUUUUCUUUUUUCUUCCACAUUUACCUCAUUUGAUUUGAAUCAGUUUCACCAGUAAAACAAACAAAAAAUAAAUAAAUCAAGAUGAAGAGUCAGAUAGAGAGGUCAGAGAAGAGGAAGAUGAUUUCUUUGCUUAAAUCACGAUUUGAUUUUACAACUUCUGUUUUGUUAAAAUAUCUACAUUUUCGGUGUCAUACUUUGAUGUGUAUAAUGUUUUAAUCUUCAAUGACAUAGUUGUAGAUAUGUGAAGUCUAAUAGUGAUUUGAAGUUGGAACGAAGUUGACCAUAAUGAUGUGAAAGGAGGGAUUGUUGAGUUUUAAAAAGUUACAACAAAACUUAAUGUGUUUCAGUGUUUUCCUUCAAAUGUAAACCUGCUGGGUUUUAGGCCAAACGAUUGCAUCAGAAUGUUGAUUAAACCAUUGUUUGUAUCCUCUUUGUAAUGUGAAGAAAACUGACACCUCUUUGUUUAGUGCCAGAAGGACUGUUUUGUUUUAACUGUUUCAUUGACACUUAAGAUAGGGUGUCAGCCAUUUUGUAGACAAGCCCUGUUGUUCUCUAUGAUUAGUUUAGAGCAAAAGACUGAUUAUUCCUGUAGAUUGAAGGGGGUUUCACGUCUGGGAUCGGCGUAACUCUGAAUACAAUAAUGGUACACCCUUCCUAAUUGGAUGACGAAGAAACCAACCAACGACCAAUGACUAUGGACCUAAGCCAUGCGGAGGAAAAAGGAC